rnacentral:rRNA from 1 species
UGGGGAAUUUUGCACAAUGGGGGAAACCCUGAUGCAGCGACGCCGCGUGAUUUAGAAGGCCUUCGGGUUGUAAAAAUCUUUUGUAUGGGAAGAAAAUGACAGUACCAUACGAAUAAGGACCGGCUAAUUACGUGCCAGCAGCCGCGGUAAUACGUAAGGUCCGAGCGUUGUCCGGAAUCAUUGGGCGUAAAGGGUACGUAGGCGGCCCAGUAAGUUAGAAGUGAAAUAAUAUAGCUCAACUAUAUAAAGCUUUUAAAACUGCUAGGCUUGAGAGAUGGAAGGGAAAGUGGAAUUCCUAGUGUAGCGGUGAAAUGCGCAGAUAUUAGGAAGAAUACCGGUGGCGAAGGCGACUUUCUGGUCAUCAUCUGACGCUGAGGUACGAAAGCGUGGGUAGCAAACAGG